GAUGAACGCUGGCGGCGUGCCUAAUACAUGCAAGUCGAGCGAACAGACGAGGAGCUUGCUCCUCUGACGUUAGCGGCGGACGGGUGAGUAACACGUGGAUAACCUACCUAUAAGACUGGGAUAACUUCGGGAAACCGGAGCUAAUACCGGAUAAUAUAUUGAACCGCAUGGUUCAAUAGUGAAAGACGGUUUUGCUGUCACUUAUAGAUGGAUCCGCGCCGCAUUAGCUAGUUGGUAAGGUAACGGCUUACCAAGGCAACGAUGCGUAGCCGACCUGAGAGGGUGAUCGGCCACCAUGGAACUGAGACACGGUCCAGACUCCUACGGGAGGCAGCAGCAGGGAAUCUUCCGCAAUGGGCGAAAGCCGGACGGAGCAACGCCGCGUGAGUGAUGAAGGUCUUCGGAUCGUAAAACUCUGUUAUUAGGGAAGAACAAAUGUGUAAGUAACUAUGCACGUCUUGACGGUACCUAAUCAGAAAGCCACGGCUAACUACGUG
rnacentral:rRNA from 1 species